CACAGAGACAGGGGCUGGAGGAACAGAGGAGGUUGCCUGAUAGCUGAGGAAAGCAGUCUCUGACAACGAGUGUCUAAUCAUCUGAACAUCCUUGUGGUACCCUGCCUCACCCAGUGCUGGAGCUUAUCCUCCAGUGUGAGUUAAACAGAUUGACUCUGAAUGGAGUAUUCAUUACAACGGAAUUUGAUCUUAGAAGACACAGCUAUAUUUAUGUCUUUUGAGUGAUUAUGGCAGUAGCCCUCCAUAACAUGUUUAAUGAUAACUUAGAGCCUUAAAAGAUGCAACAAAGACAUUUUGUAACAUAAAAG
rnacentral:lncRNA from 1 species